rnacentral:rRNA from 1 species
GCACAAGCGGUGGAUGAUGUGGAUUAAUUCGAUGCAACGCGAAAAACCUUACCUACCCUUGACAUGUCCGGAAUCCCGAAGAGAUUUGGGAGUGCUCGCAAGAGAACCGGAACACAGGUGCUGCAUGGGCUGUCGUCAGCUCGUGUCGUGAGAUGUUGGGUUAAGUCCCGCAACGAGCGCAACCCCUAUUGUUAGUUGCCAUCAUUCAGUUGGGCACUCUAGCGAGACUGCCGGUAAUAAACCGGAGGAAGGUGGGGAUGACGUCAAAUCAUCAUGCCCCUUAUGACCUGGGCUACACACGUGCUACAAUGGUUGGUACAACGAGUUGCGAGUCGGUGACGGCGAGCUAAUCUCUUAAAGCCAAUCUCAGUUCGGAUUGUAGGCUGCAACUCGCCUACAUGAAGUCGGAAUCGCUAGUAAUCGCGGAUCAGCACGCCGCGGUGAAUACGUUCCCGGGCCUU